UAGCCAAUGUCUUCUCUAUCAUG
rnacentral:miRNA from 1 species